ensembl:lncRNA
GAGAGAGAGAGAGAGAGAGAGAGAGAGAGAGAAAAUAGAGAGGAGAAAAGGUUGACAGAAGGAGACAGAAAAGGGAACGGUGAGAUGAAGAUAGAUAGAGUGUGAGAGAGACACACGAAGAGAGAAGCAACGAGACAGCAAGAACGAGAGAGAGGCAAAGAGACAGGAGCAAAGAGGGAGAUAGAGAGAUAGAUACAGAGAGAGAUAUAUACAGAGAGAGAGAUACAGAGAGAGAUAUACAGAGAGAGAUAUACAGAGAGAGAUAGAUACAGAGAGAGACAGAUACAGAGAGAGACGUACAGAGAGAGAUGUACAGAGAGAGACAGAUACAGAGAGACAGAUACAGAGAGAGAUAUAUACAGAGAGAGAUACAGAGAGAUAUACAGAGAGAUGUACAGAGAGAUAUGUACAGAGAGAGAUGUACAGAGAGAGAUAUACAGAGAGAGAUAUACAGAGAGAUAUACAGAGAGAGAUGUACAGAGAGAGAUAUACAGAGAGAGAUAUACAGAGAGAGAGAUAGAGAGAUACAGA